rnacentral:lncRNA from 1 species
GAACAGCCCACACUCUUGACCAUCACCGAGCAAGCAUACCCGCCCUUAAGGCUGGAGUGAAGUGGGAGGAGCCGGUGACUGCAGUGUACCUACCCAGCUGGCGGCACCCCAUCCGGGUAAGACACAUCA